UGGAUGAUGAUGAAAAUCGAGCUUGAGAAUGCUUAGAUCAAUGCUAUUUUCCAACUGCCAUUGGAGGAUGAACCUUGCUUUGGUGCGGAUCCGGAUGCGUUUUGCUCCAAAUUUCCUUCAACAGAAUUGCAAUAACACCUGCACAGGGAGGAUCAAGAGAGAAAACACGAAAAACUAGAGGAAAUCUUGGUGAAUUUUGGAAGAAUAUGAAGAUGCAAAGUGUAGAAAAAUGAGAGAAAAAUGGGAGUUCUUGAGAUUUUCUUUUGUUGAAUUGGUGAAU
rnacentral:lncRNA from 1 species